CCUACGGGAGGCAGCAGUGGGGGAUAUUGCACAAUGGGGGGAACCCUGAUGCAGCGACGCCGCGUGGGUGAAGGAGCGUUUCGGCGCGUAAAGCCCUAUCGGCCGGGAAGAAGGAGGACGGUCCCUGACUAAGAAGCCCCGGCUAACUACGUGACAGCAGCCGCGGUAAUACGGAAGGUCCGGGCGUUAUCCGGAAGUAGUGGGUUUAAAGGGAGCGUAGGCCGGCUGUUAAGUCAGCUGGGAAAGUCCGCGGCUCAACCGUGGAAUUGCAGUUGAAACUGGAGGCCUUGAGUGCACACAGGGAUGCCGGAAUUCAUGGUGGAGCGGUGAAAUGCUUAGAUAUCAUGAAGAACUCCGAUCGCGAAGGCAAGUGUCCGGGGUGCAACUGACGCUGAGGCACGAAAGUGCGGGUAUCGAACAGGAUUAGAUACCCCAGUAGUC
rnacentral:rRNA from 1 species